rnacentral:tRNA from 1 species
GCCUGGCUAGCUUGGUUGGCAGAGCGCUUCACUGCAAACAGGGAGGUCCCGGGUUCGAUACCCGGACCAGGCG